rnacentral:rRNA from 1 species
UACGUAGGGUGCGAGCGUUAAUCGGAAUUACUGGGCGUAAAGCGUGCGCAGGCGGUGAGCUGUGUCCGAUGUGAAAGCCCCGGGCUUAACCUGGGAAUGGCAUUGGAAACUGGCUCGCUGGAGUGUGGCAGAGGGGGGUGGAAUUCCGCGUGUAGCGGUGAAAUGCGUAGAUAUCGGAAGGAACACCAGUGGCGAAAGCGGCUUCCUGGUCCAGCACCGACGUUCAGGCACGAAAGCGUGGGGAGCAAACAGG